GACGAACGCUGGCGGCGUGCCUAACACAUGCAAGUCGAGCGGUAAGGCUCCUUCGGGAGUACACGAGCGGCGAACGGGUGAGUAACACGUGAGCAAUCUGCCCUUCACACAGGGAUAACUCCGGGAAACCGGUGCUAAUACCUGGUACGACCACUUCAGGCAUCUGAUGGUGGUGGAAAGUUCCGGCGGUGAAGGAUGAGCUCGCGGCCUAUCAGCUUGUUGGUGGGGUAACGGCCCACCAAGGCAACGACGGGUAGCCGGCCUGAGAGGGUGACCGGCCACACUGGGACUGAGACACGGCCCAGACUCCUACGGGAGGCAGCAGUGGGGAAUAUUGGACAAUGGGCGAAAGCCUGAUCCAGCAACGCCGCGUGAGGGAUGACGGCCUUCGGGUUGUAAACCUCUUUCAGCAGGGACGAAGCGCAAGUGACGGUACCUGCAGAAGAAGCACCGGCCAACUACGUGCCAGCAGCCGCGGUAA
rnacentral:rRNA from 1 species